rnacentral:lncRNA from 1 species
AAAUUCAUAGUAAUUUCUUUUUUUAUCCAAAAAAUCCCAAAAUAAUUUCUAAAAUUCUCUUUUAUUUUUGUUUAUCUAAUUUUUAUUUUUUCACAUUUUAUUUCACUGAUUUUCUAUUUUUUUAAUGAAUUUUCUCUUUUCUCCUUUGUUUUAAUUGGUUUAAAAAUACUUUUCUGUAUUUUAAAAUUCUGAAAAAAUUAUUAUAUACUUCUUAUUUUAUUUUCAACCUUCCAUAAUUUUCUUGGCCGUUUAU